UACGUAGGGGGCGAGCGUUGUCCGGAUUUAUUGGGCGUAAAGAGCUCGUAGGCGGCUUGGCAAGUCGGGUGUGAAACCUCCAGGCUCAACCUGGAGACGCCACUCGAUACUGCUAUGGCUAGAGUCCGGUAGGGGACCACGGAAUUCCUGGUGUAGCGGUGAAAUGCGCAGAUAUCAGGAAGAACACCCGUGGCGAAAGCGGCUCUCUGGAACGGUACUGACGCUGAGACGCGAAAGCGUGGGGAGCGAACAGG
rnacentral:rRNA from 1 species